CCCCAGUGACCGACAUGCUAAUCAGGACCAGCGGCAGUCGAUAAUCAGCGGCAUGAAAAAGGCCAUCGGACACGGAAUUGGUGGUUUCAGGAAGGGAUGUCAGGGAGGAAGCUGUUGGUGUUCUCCGAGGCCCAGACAAGCCACAGGGGGAUUAGCCCUUUGUGCUGAUGAAAGAGUCCAGGCGGUCACGGGUUCGACCACAGAUGGCAACCGCUACUACUAGAUGAUGUAUGAAUGAACGCAGUGGUGUUUCAGCAGACUCCACACCCUAAAGAUGAACUGCCUGAUUCCAGCCUCAUUUCAGCCCAUUGAUCACGUCUCAUACAGUCUGAGAUAGACGGCCAACGCUGAAAGAAGGGGCCACGCCAUUAGAGCCUGAGACCAUCCAUUUUACUGCAGAUCAGUGGGACGGUUCCUGAAAUGGACCUCGGAGCAGCGUGUAUCAGACACACACCAACUCUUCUUCUGCUCAACCGAGCUCGUCCACGCCCUCCCAGGCCUGUCCUCCCUCUCCCCGUUUGAGACGGCAUGACGACCUGGAACAGUUGGUACAUAAAAAAAAUAAUAAAAAAUACUAAUGGUGCCUGGAGAAGGUUUUGUUGGCUUGCGUCCUUUGUCGUGCCACUCUGAUUAACAGGUUGCACCAAAAACAAAGUCCCUUUAUGAUAAAGCAAUGAAUCUUUU